CCUACGGGAGGCAGCAGUGAGGAAUAUUGGGCAAUGGGCGCAAGCCUGAUCCAGCCAUGCCGCGUGCAGGAAGACGCAUCUAUGGUGUGUAAACUGCUUUUGUACGGGAAGAAACACUCCCACGUGUAGGAGCUUGACGGUACCGUAAGAAUAAGCAUCGGCUAACUCCGUGCCAGC
rnacentral:rRNA from 1 species